GUGGGGAAUAUUGGACAAUGGGCGAAAGCCUGAUCCAGCCAUGCCGCGUGUGUGAAGAAGGUCUUCGGAUUGUAAAGCACUUUAAGUUGGGAGGAAGGGCAGUAAGUUAAUACCUUGCUGUUUUGACGUUACCGACAGAAUAAGCACCGGUUAACUUCGUGCCAGCAGCCGCGGUAAUACGAAGGGUGCAAGCGUUAAUCGGAAUUACUGGGCGUAAAGCGCGCGUAGGUGGUUUUGUAAGUUGGAGGUGAAAUCCCCGGGCUCAACCUGGGAACUGCCUCCAAAACUGCAUGACUAGAGUACGGUAGAGGGUAGUGGAAUUUCCUGUGUAGCGGUGAAAUGCGUAGAUAUAGGAAGGAACACCAGUGGCGAAGGCGACUACCUGGACUGAUACUGACACUGAGGUGCGAAAGCGUGGGGAGCAAACAGGAUUAGAAACCCCGGUAGUCC
rnacentral:rRNA from 1 species